CCCUUAGAUGUCCUGGGCCGCACGCGCGUUACACUGAUGCAUUCAACGAGCUUAUAACCUUGGCCGAGAGGCCUGGGCAAUCUUGUUAACGUGCAUCGUGAUAGGGAUAGAUUAUUGAAAUUAUUAAUCUUGAACGAGGAAUUCCUGGUAAACGCAGAUCAUCAAUCUGCAUUGAUUACGUCCCUGCCCUUUGUACACACCGCCCGUCGCACCUACCGAUUGGAUGGUCCGGUGAAGCCUCGGGAUUGUGGUUCUUGCCGCUUUAUUGUAGCGUGACCGCGAGAACUUGUCUAAACCUUAUCAUCUAGAGGAAGGUGAAGUCGUAACA
rnacentral:rRNA from 1 species